UUCCAACGUUUCACCUUAGUCCUGUCGAUACUAAUCCUCUCUGCCCCUCUCUUUCUCUGGCUUUCCCUUUCUCGGUUCUAGACCUAGAGAGUAGAGAACUCUGGUCUCGUUCUCUUUGCUUUGCAUGAUUCGCCGGGUGCCACUUUGAAACCGGGUGUCUCGCAAAUUUCCGGCGUGCACAAGGGCCCCGUUAAUAAAUUGCAGGCCAGCCGUGUACGAUAGUUGCUGCGGAGAGACAACGACAACGUGUAAACGGAAAUUUCGUUUGCAGGAAGGGUAAAAGAUGAGAAUCGGCACUGAGGCGUACGCUGGACAUCGCUCUCGAUGGAACAACUCUUGCUACGUGUCCUUCCGAGAAAGGUCGAUAUUUCAAUUAGCUUCGGAGACAGAGGACUUGAAAGCGGAGCGUGUACAGUACGAAUAGAUGAAAAGUACCGUGACCCAAAUCUUUUUCUGGGAACACGUACGCGGAAUAGUAACUAGUAAAAAGACAUAUGACUUACUAUCUGCCAUUGCCCACCGUACACGUGUGGACUUUGGGAUAGGUCACUUAGAGUGAAGGUGCGACUGAAAGUCCUGUCGACAUGAAAUAAAAAGUACGUCAAAGAGGAA